UCGGGAAUCUUGCACAAUGGGCGAAAGCCUGAUGCAGCAACGCCGUGUGAGCGAGGAAGGUCUUCGGAUCGUAAAGCUCUGUUGUUGGGGACGAAGGGCGAAGGGUUAAUAGCCCCUAGCCUGACGGUACCCUUCGAGGAAGCCCCGGCUAACUACGUGCCAGCAGCCGCGGUAAUACGUAGGGGGCGAGCGUUGUCCGGAAUCACUGGGCGUAAAGGGCACGUAGGCGGUCUAGUAAGUCCGAUGUUAAAGCGUGGGGCUCAACCCCAUCACGGCGUUGGAUACUGCUAGGCUUGACGACUGGAGAGGUGAGUAGAAUUACCAGUGUAGCGGUGGAAUGCGUAGAUACUGGUAGGAAUACCCAUUGCGAAGGCAGCUCACUGGACAGUACGUGACGCUGAGGUGCGAAAGUGUGGGGAGCAAACCGGAUUAGAUACCCGCGUAGUCC
rnacentral:rRNA from 1 species